AAUAUUAAUUGGUCAUCUAAAUAUUUAUACAUACGCUACAACAAUUGAGUGAACCAAACAACAAGGAAGUUGACAUCCUUGGUUAAACUACAAAAGGAAAUUAAGAAACAAAUCCCAGCUGCUAAUUACUUGAACCGAAAAAGUGCAUAAAUUCACCUACAGUUACAUCUGAAAAUAACGUAGCUGCAAGCUUGCUUGCUUGCUUGCACAUGACAAAUUCUACUUAUAAUUUCCGACGAAAAUAAACCAAACAUAUAUAAAAUGCUUUCAUUAAUAAUUUAGAACAGAUGAUUAAUUAAUUACGUACAUAAGGGUAGCACUGAAGUUUAAAGGGGAACUCUUUCAAACAGUACUGAAUCAACUGACAAUUAAAGUAUCCAGGAGCAGAAACCAGCAACGCACGCACGAUACCAUGUGCCUGCCGGACAAGAUCAAUUUGCCAUUCAUGGUUUAUACAUAGUUUUUUUUAAUCACUAGUUUCCACCAUGAUGAUGACAAUUGUUUGUUCCAAAAAUGUCUCCACUUUUCCAUUUGUAUCAAAAUCUGACACUAAAGGCCAGGAGGAUACUGCAAGCAAGCUCACGCAAAGAAAUACCCAGCUCCGGCUCUGUAGCCUGUAGGGUGGGGUAGAUAGAUAGAUUUUCAGUUAUGCUCUUUUGUAUAUAUAUGCUGAAAAUAGUUGAAUACAGCUGAUAUGUAUUCUAUUAUUAUAUAGCUUUGACAUUAAUUCUUUUGAUUAUUCUGCUACUAAGUUGCUAACAAAGUAUAUAUAUGACAUGAUAAUCUGGCUAACAUCUGAUCCUAUAUAUAAUGUGAUUAGCUAUAUAUUAACUCAUCUCAACAAGUUAAAUAACUUAUCUAGAAAAUAAAUUAAAGAAGAAAAGAGGGAAAUAAACCAGUAAUUAUUCUGAAAAUUAAGGACUAUAUAUAUAUAUAUAUAUCCCCUAGACCCAACCCCAACCCCAGAAAAGGGAGGAUUUUAUUUUUUAUUUUUUUUAAAGAUGUAGUUUUUGCAUAUUCCGAAAACAUAUAUCUUCACUGUAAAGCUGAGUUGUUGAGAUAAGUGAUGACCAAAGAAAAAUUCAAUCUUCAAUUUGGUUAUGUUUCAAUGAAUGAGUAAACCAAGCAUAAAGAAAUAAUGAGUUAGAAGACACAAAAAGUGUUAACUACUCCCUCCAAUCCAUCAUAAAGAAAUAUGACUCUUUAUUUUAUGGACAAGGGGGAUAUUUAAAUAAAACAAAAAAUUAAGAGGGGAGAAAUUAAAAUAAGUGAAAGCUUUAGCCAGAGUUUGUAAAGAGAAGGAAGAUGUUUGGCCCUUGGAAAAGAAAUCUAACUAUAUAUGUUUCUCCUUCAAACUUGUAACCCAUCCGGAAAAUAUAACUGGCAUACACCAUUAGAGAUCUCUGAUCUGAUCAAAUAGCUAAGAUUUAUAGAUGGGGAGGAAACACAUUAAUGGACAGUCGUCAAGAAAAGUAUAUAUAUACCAAACAACAAUAAUAUUUCGAUAGGAUCAAAUAAUAUAUAUAUGGAACUACACAACACAAAACAAGAUGAAAAAAGAAAACAUAUUAUAUAUACUGAUAUCCUGACUAAUUAAUAAAGAUGGUAUUUUCCAGAUAACCCAUUUCUGAAUUAAUAUUUAGAAAUAAUCAAGCUUAUUGGUUCAGAAAAUACCUACCUUGGAUACUCGUAGAAAAUCUGUAGCAAGGAAUUCCAUAGAAAACAAUCAAACAUCACAGCCUAGUUUCAUUUAAACACCUACAUUUCAGCAGUAAAGUUGUAGUAGUGGGACAUAAUAAUGGAAGAACCCAUUAGGUCCAUUGAACCUAGUCACUAUGGAGAAUAACUACGUACAACAGCUUUUGGUCAUAAUGUUUUCACAAAUAUUCACAACAACUCUCUCAUAUUAAUAUGAAU
rnacentral:lncRNA from 1 species